GAUAAUUUGUCCGAGUGGUUUAGGAAAGAUUAGAAAUCUUUUGGGCUCUGCCCGCCCAGGUUGGAAUCCUGCAGUUGUCG
rnacentral:tRNA from 1 species